rnacentral:rRNA from 1 species
GGGGGAAAAUUAAUUAAAUUUAAAUUAAUAAAAUAAAUUUUAAUAUUAAAAUAAAAUAAUGGGGGUUAAAGUAUUUUAAUAGAAAAAAUUUAUAAAUUUAUAGUUAAAUAGUAUUGUAGAAGAAAUUUUAAAUAUAUGAAAAUUAAUUAAUAAAAAAGAAAAUUUAGUUUAUUGUAUCUUGUGUAUCAGAGUUUAUUAAAAAUAUUUUUUUUUAUAAAAAAAUCUCGAAUUUAAAAGAGUUAAUUAAUUAUAAAAGUUAAUGUAACAUAAUUAUUUUAAAUAAUUGAUUGGAAAUGAAAUGUUAAUCGUUUUUAAAUAUAUCUAGUUUUUUUAGAAAAAAAUUUAAUUUUAAAUUAAAAUAAUUUUAUAAUUUAUUAAUUAAUUAUAAAAAUUUUAAGUUUAAUAUUUUAAGGGAUAAGCUUUAAAUUAAAAAAUUAUAAUAAAAUAAUUUAAAUUAAAAUUUUUAAAAUUUAUAUUGUUUAAAAAUUAUAAUUUAUUAUAAAAAAUUUUAAUAAAAAUAAAAUUUAAUAAAAAUUUAAUUUUUUAUAAAAAAAUAAUUUUUAAUUAUAAAAGAUUAGUAAUAAUGAUAAAAUUAGUAUAAAUUAUAAAUAAAAAUUUAUAAAAUUAAUAAAAUAUAAAUUUAAUUAAAAGGAAUUCGGCAAAUUUAAAUAUUCACUUGUUUAUCAAAAACAUGUCUUUUUGAAAAUAAUUUAAAGUCUAAUCUGCCCACUGAUUUUAUUAAAGGGCUGCAGUAUAUUGACUGUACAAAGGUAGCAUAAUCAUUAGUUUUUUAAUUGGAAACUUGUAUGAAAGAUUUAAUGAAAUAUUAACUGUCUCUUAAUUAUUAUUAAAACUUUAUUUUUUAGUAAAAAAGCUAAAAUAAAUUUAAAAGACGAGAAGACCCUAUAGAGUUUUAUAUUUAAUUUUAUUUUGAAAAUAUAUAAAAUUUAAUAUAAAAUAAAGUUAAAUAUUAUAUUGGGGUGAUAGAAAAAUUUAAUAAACUUUUUUUAAAUUAUAAACAUAAAUAAAUGAAUAAAUGAUCCAUAAAUAAUGAUUAUAAGAAAAAAUUACCUUAGGGAUAACAGCGUAAUAUUUUUUUUUAGUACAAAUAAAAAAAAAAGUUUGCGACCUCGAUGUUGGAUUAAGAUAAAAUUUAAACGCAAAAGUUUAAAAUUUUGAUCUGUUCGAUCAUUAAAAUCUUACAUGAUCUGAGUUCAAACCGGUGUGAGCCAGGUUGGUUUCUAUCUUUAAAAAAUUAAAAUAUUUUAGUACGAAAGGAUUAAAUAUUAAAAAUAAUUUUAUUUUAAGAAUAUUAUUAAUAAAUUAUAUA